AUAUUGGACAAUGGGCGAAAGCCUGAUCCAGCAACGCCGCGUGAGGGAUGACGGCCUUCGGGUUGUAAACCUCUUUCAGCGGGGACGAAGCGCAAGUGACGGUACCAGCAGAAGAAGCAACGGCCAACUACGUGCCAGCAGCCGCGGUAAUACGUAGGGUGCGAGCGUUGUCCGGAAUUAUUGGGCGUAAAGGGCUCGUAGGCGGUUUGUCGCGUCGGGAGUGAAAACCAGGUGCUUAACACCUGGCCUGCUUCCGAUACGGGCAGACUAGAGGUAUGCAGGGGAGAACGGAAUUCCUGGUGUAGCGGUGAAAUGCGCAGAUAUCAGGAGGAACACCGGUGGCGAAGGCGGUUCUCUGGGCAUUACCUGACGCUGAGGAGCGAAAGUGUGGGGAGCGAACAGG
rnacentral:rRNA from 1 species